rnacentral:rRNA from 1 species
CGGAAGAUCCAAGCGUUAUCCGGAAUUACUGGGCGUAAAGAGUUGCGUAGGUGGCAUAGUAAGUAGAUAGUGAAAUCCUGGGGCUCAACCCUUUAAACAUUAUCUAAACUGCUAAGCUAGAGGGCGAGAGAGGUAGCUAGAAUUCCUAGUGUAGGAGUGAAAUCCGUAGAUAUUAGGAGGAAUACCGAUGGCGUAGGCAGGCUACUGGCUCGUCCCUGACACUAAGGCACGAAAGCGUGGGGAGCGACCGGGAUUAGAUACCCCGUUAGUCCACGCCGUAAACGAUGGAUGCUAGCUGUUAUGAGUAUCGACCCUCGUAGUAGCGAAGCUAACGCGUUAAGCAUCCCGCCUGUGGAGUACGAGCGCAAGCUUA